CAGGUGGUAGCUGAGCGGUUAAGCGUUUGGCUGCUAACCAGAAGGUUGGCGGUUCGAACCCACUAGCUGC
rnacentral:tRNA from 1 species